ACCAGACUCCUACGGGAGGCAGCAGUGGGGGAUAUUGCACAAUGGGGGGAAACCCUGAUGCAGCGACGCCGCGUGGGCGAAGAAGUAUUUCGGUACGUAAAGCUCUAUCAGCAGGGAAGAUAAUGACGGUACCUGACCAAGAAGCCCCGGCUAACUACGUGCCAGCAGCCGCGGUAAUACGUAGGGGGCAAGCGUUAUCCGGAUUUACUGGGCGUAAAGGGAGCGUAGACGGCAUGGCAAGUCUGAAGUGAAAGCCCGGGGCUCAACCGCGGGACUGCUUUGGAAACUGUUAAGCUGGAGUGCGGGAGAGGUAAGUGGAAUUCCUAGUGUAGCGGUGAAAUGCGUAGAUAUUAGGAGGAACACCAGUGGCGAAGGCGGCUUACUGGACUGUAACUGACGUUGAGGCUCGAAAGCGUGGGGAGCAAACAGGAUUAGAUACCCGGGUAAG
rnacentral:rRNA from 1 species